ACACAUGCAAGUCGAGCGGGGACUUGUUGAGGAAGUCUUCGGAUGGAAUCGAUAAGUUCUAGCGGCGGACGGGUGAGUAACGCGUGAGCAACCUGCCCUCCACAGGGGGAUAACGCACCGAAAGGUGCACUAAUACCGCAUAAGACCACGUUUCUGACAUGGGGAUGAGGUCAAAGGAGCAAUCCGGUGGAAGAUGGGCUCGCGUCUGAUUAGCUAGUUGGUGAGGUAACGGCCCACCAAGGCGACGAUCAGUAGCCGACCUGAGAGGGUGAUCGGCCACAUUGGAACUGAGAGACGGUCCAAACUCCUACGGGAGGCAGCAGUGGGGAAUAUUGGGCAAUGGGCGAAAGCCUGACCCAGCAACGCCGCGUGAAGGAAGAAGGUUUUCGGAUCGUAAACUUCUAUCCUUGGUGAAGAUAAUGACGGUAGCCAAGAAGGAAGCCCCGGCUAACUACGUGCCAGCAGCCGCGGUAAUACGUAGGGGGCAAGCGUUGUCCGGAAUGAUUGGGCGUAAAGGGCGCGUAGGCGGCCAACUAAGUCUGGAGUGAAAGUCCUGCUUUUAAGGUGGGAAUUGCUUUGGAAACUGGAUGGCUUGAGUGCAGGAGAGGUAAGCGGAAUUCCCGGUGUAGCGGUGAAAUGCGUAGAGAUCGGGAGGAACACCAGUGGCGAAGGCGGCUUACUGGACUGUAACUGACGCUGAGGCGCGAAGGUGUGGGGAGCAAACAGGAUUAGAUACCCUGGUAGUCCACACUGUAAACGAUGAAUGCUAGGUGUAGGGGGUAUCGACCCCUUCUGUGCCG
rnacentral:rRNA from 1 species